ensembl:lncRNA
AUUUUAUAUGUAACAGUGUGUAUUUAUUAAUACCAAAUUCCUAAUUAAUUCUCCACCUCUUUCCCCUUUAGUAUCCCUAAGUUCGUUUUGUAUGUCUGAAACGGUUUCUGUUUUGUCAAGAAGUUUUUUUGUGUCAUCGUUUAGAUUUCACUGAUAACUGAUAUCAUAUGAUAUUUGUCUUUUUGUGUCUUCACUUAAUAUUCUAAUCUCUAGGUCCAUCCACUUUGCUGAAAUGGCAUUAUUUCAUUUUUCAUGAUGAAUAAUAUUCCAUUAUUUACUCUAUGCUAUGUGGACUCUUGAUUCAGGCCUUACAGAUGUUAGGACAGACCUGUCAGCAUGAAGGUCCUCUCAUGGUGAGGGCUAAACCACGAUUCCCCAGAAGAAUCCUACCUCAUGGUCUGGGCCUCCAGGAAGAAUUCAUCUUCUGACACGGAGCUCCUGAUCACCCUCACAGCAACAUCAUCCUGCCCCUUCCACUUGCCCUGAUGGACCGCUCCAAACUGGCCACUUCCCAGGCUCUUCAACAGGGUUAUCUCUUCACUUUGGAGUUCCCAGAUUCUAAUAAGCUGGGGUCGAAGAAGUACAGCUGCCUUGUGGACACUUCUUUUAACAACUUGAUCACCAGUGCCACAAGCACCUCCAAUUCACAAGGCCGAUGGGGCUGUUAAUGACAGCUGCCCUCAGGAAAGGCCCCGUGAUGGUUUUGCAGAAAUUCCAACACAACCAACUGCCAAGAAGCCAACUGCAAAGGUAAAUUUUCCUCACAGCCUUUAAGGAAACAAACAAACCCAAACGGUCACAGGACAAGAUGCUCAGAUUCCCUAGUUAUUACAAGAGGAAUACCAAUCAAAUCGACAAGAAAUCACAGUGCACCUGACAGAAGGGCAAUCCUGACUGUCUGCGCCGUAAAUAGGGGAGAGAGCCCGAGGUGAUGCAAGCCCCGUGCAUGUUCUGUGGGAAUGGACACUGGGGACAGCCCCAGGAAAGGACAGCCCCCAGGCCUGAAGACAAAAAUUCAAGAGAGCAAAGCCUAGGAUUUUAAUACCUGCAUCUGGGCCUAUGUUAUGAAAAACCACCAUUCAAACUGACAGAUGCACCACAACAUUCACUGCAGUGGUACUUGAAAUAGCCAAGACACAGACCCAAGAAAAGGUCCGAUGACAGAUUAAAUCUUGAAAAAGUGUGGUACAUAUAUACAAUUUGCUAUCACUCAGACACCAAACCCCGCCACUGAAGUUAUGAAAUUACGCCACUGGUCACCACAAGGAUGGACCUUGGAGGAGUCUACACUCCAUGGAGUCAGCAACAGAGGAAGAUUAUAGCAGAUGAUGUCCCUUCAAGGCAAAAUUAAGAAAAGAGGUACAGGGGAGUAAUUUGCAACAGAAAAAGACACUGUGACAUUCAAACAAAAUUCAAAAAAGGGGAGGGGAGGGGAAAUAGAUAGGAAAUAGCAUGUCGGUACUAACAUAUCCACAGAAAUCUGGAUUAUCUCCUUCCAUCCUUCCUAUGUGCACUGAAAUUUGUAUCUCUAACAUACCCACAGAAAUCUGUACUUGUAUUAAGUAACUCACAAGGAUUAUCUCCAGCCUACCUUCCUUCCUUCCAUGCACACAUGCACAGAAGUAUUUCUAACUUAUACUUGGAAAUCUGUCACUGUAAUAGAUAAUC